GACGAACGCUGGCGGCGUGCUUAACACAUGCAAGUCGAGCGGUAAGGCCCUUUCGGGGGUACACGAGCGGCGAACGGGUGAGUAACACGUGGGUGACCUGCCCUUAGCUCUGGGAUAAGCCUGGGAAACUGGGUCUAAUACCGGAUAUGACUCCAUGACGCAUGUUGUGGGGUGGAAAGCCUUGUGCGGCUAGGGAUGGGCCCGCGGCCUAUCAGCUUGUUGGUGGGGUGAUGGCCUACCAAGGGCGACGACGGGUAGCCGGCCUGAGAGGGCGACCGGCCACACUGGGACUGAGAUACGGCCCAGACUCCUACGGGAGGCAGCAGUGGGGAAUCUUGCGCAAUGGGCGAAAGCCUGACGCAGCGACGCCGCGUGAGGGAUGACGGCCU
rnacentral:rRNA from 1 species